rnacentral:rRNA from 1 species
UACGGAGGGAGCUAGCGUUGUUCGGAAUUACUGGGCGUAAAGCGCACGUAGGCGGCUUUGUAAGUUAGAGGUGAAAGCCUGGAGCUCAACUCCAGAAUUGCCUUUAAGACUGCAUCGCUUGAAUCCAGGAGAGGUGAGUGGAAUUCCGUAGUGUAGAGGUGAAAUUCGUAGAUAUUCGGAAGAACACCAGUGGCGAAGGCGG